UGGAAGUCAUAAUCAUCGUGAU
rnacentral:siRNA from 1 species